CUAUUACAUGUAGGUUAGAGCCAUGUACACAGGCAGGGGUGACACAGCUAUUACAUGUAGGUUAGAUCCAUGUACACAGGCAGGGGUGACACAGCUAUUACAUGUAUGUUAGAGCCAUGUACACAGGCAGGGGUGACACAGCUAUUACAUGUAGGUUAGAUCCAUGUACACAGGCAGGGGUGACACAGCUAUUACAUGUAGGUUAUAUCCAUGUACACAGGCAGGGGUGACACAGCUAUCACAUGUAGGUUAUAUCCAUGUACACAGGCAGGGGUGACACAGCUAUCACAUGUAGGUUAUAUCCAUGUACACAGGCAGGGGUGACACAGCUAUUACAUGUAGGUUAGAUCCAUGUACACAGGCAGGGGUGACACAGCUAUUACAUGUAUGUUAGAGCCAUGUACACAGGCAGGGGUGACACAGCUAUUACAUGUAGGUUAUAUCCAUGUACACAGGCAGGGAUGACACAGCUAUUACAUGUAGGUUAUAUCCAUGUACACAGGCAGGGGUGACACAGAUAUUACAUGUAGGUCAGAUCCAUGUACACAGGCAGGGG